rnacentral:ncRNA from 1 species
AAGGUCUUAGUCUUAAACCUAUCAUUACUUAUAAUCAAGACUAUACAUGCAAGCCUCAACGCCCCUGUGAGUACCUAUAGCAUCAGGCACGUCUACGACAGCCCACAACGCUAAGCCAAAUUCUGUGCCACACCCACACGGACCCCAGCAGUAAUUAACUUUGAGCCAUGAACGAAAGCCCGACUCAGCUAUGGUUAUACUAACACUGGUAAAUUUCGUGCCAGCUACCGCGGUUAUACGAACCAAGUUACAAGUAAUGAUCCAACGGCGUAAAGAGCAGCCAUAACUGCAACCACACAUUAAAAGCCAAUAAGGCCUUUAUGAUUAAAUAUAAGCCCUUAGAACAACAAAACUUUUAAUCACAAGUUGAUUAGACCUGCGAAACCCAGGGCACAAACUAGGAUUAGAUACCCUACUAUGCCUGGGCAUUAAUACAUGACAAACCCAAUACUAACCACUUUGUUCGCCAGAAAAUUACGGGCGAAAGCCUAAAACUCAAAAGACUUGACGGUGUCUCAACCCUACCUAGAGGAGCCUGUUCCAUAAUCGAUAAUCCCCGAUCAACCCGACCACCCAUUGUCCCAUUCAGCCUAUAUACCGCCGUCGCCAGCUUACCUUUUGAAAGACAAACAGUAAGCCCAAUAGCCCCCUUUACUUUAAAGCUAAAAAGUCAGGUCAAGGUGUAGCUUAUAGGGUGGAGGAAAUGGGCUACAUUUUCUACAAUUAGACAAAACGAACUACUGUCCUGAAACGGACUUACGAAGGUGGAUUUAGCAGUAAGUCAAACAAGAGUGUUUGACUAAACACAGCUCUGAGACAUGUACACACCGCCCGUCACCCUCCUCAACAAAAACUUAAUUACAAUAUAUAAUAAACUAAAACCCACAAGAUGAGGCAAGUCGUAACAAGGUAAGUGUACUGGAAAGUGCACUUGGACAAC